GACGAACGCUGGCGGCGUGCUUAACACAUGCAAGUCGAACGGUAAGGCCCUUCGGGGUACACGAGUGGCGAACGGGUGAGUAACACGUGGGUGAUCUGCCCUGCACUUCGGGAUAAGCCUGGGAAACUGGGUCUAAUACCGGAUAGGACUCCUGGCUUCAUGGUUGGGGGUGGAAAGCUUUUGCGGUGUGGGAUGGGCCCGCGGCCUAUCAGCUUGUUGGUGGGGUGAUGGCCUACCAAGGGGACGCCGGGUAGCCGGCCUGAGAGGGUGACCCGCCCCACUUGGACCGAAGUACGGCUCAGACUCCCACAGGGGGCAGCAGGUGGGAAUAUUGCACCGUGGGCGCAAGCCUGGUGCAGGAGCACCGCGUGAGGGAUGACGGCCUUCGGGUUGUAAACCUCUUUCAGUAGGGACGAAGCGCAAGUGACGGUACCUACAGAAGAAGGACCGGCCAACUACGUGCCAGCAGCCGCAGUAA
rnacentral:rRNA from 1 species